CAGCAACGGAUAUCUUGGCUCUUGCAACGAUGAAGAACGCAGCGAAAUGCGAUACCUAGUGUGAAUUGCAGAAUUCCGCGAAUCAUCGAGUCUUUGAACGCAAGUUGCGCCCGAGGCUUGUCCCGAGGGCAUGCCUGCCUGAGCGUC
rnacentral:rRNA from 1 species